rnacentral:rRNA from 1 species
GAUGAACGCUGGCGGCGUGCCUAAUACAUGCAAGUCGAGCGAACAGGCGAGGAGCUUGCUCCUUUGACGUUAGCGGCGGACGGGUGAGUAACACGUGGAUAACCUACCUAUAAGACUGGGAUAACUUCGGGAAACCGGAGCUAAUACCGGAUAACAUGUUGAACCGCAUGGUUCAACAGUGAAAGACGGUCUUGCUGUCACUUAUAGAUGGAUCCGCGCCGCAUUAGCUAGUUGGUAAGGUAACGGCUUACCAAGGCAACGAUGCGUAGCCGACCUGAGAGGGUGAUCGGCCACACUGGAACUGAGACACGGUCCAGACUCCUACGGGAGGCAGCAGUAGGGAAUCUUCCGCAAUGGGCGAAAGCCUGACGGAGCAACGCCGCGUGAGUGAAGAAGGUCUUCGGAUCGUAAAACUCUGUUAUUAGGGAAGAACAAAUGUGUAAGUAACUAUGCACGUCUUGACGGUACCUAAUCAGAAAGCCACGGCUAACUACGUG